AUGACAAAUCAGGGUGGUGACCUUGGCCACAUCACUGUCAUAGAGCUUCUUCACAGCCAGUUUGAUCUGGUGCUUGUUGGCUUUAACAUCCACAAUGAACACAAGUGUGUAGUUUUCUUCUGUCUUCUUCACGGCCGACUCAGUGGUCAGCGGAAACUUGAUGAUAGCAUAGUGGUCAAGCUUGUUUCUCCUGGGGGUGUUCUUCCGAGGAUAUCUGGGCUGCCUCUGGAGUCGCAGUGUCUUGGGCCGCCUGAAGAUAUUAUUUCCCCCUGAUGCUUUCCUGAAAGCUCCUGCAAUCAGCUACAGGUCAGAAUAUUCGUCUCCAAGGCAGGACUCCCUCUGAGACUCACAGAAAAGACUAU
rnacentral:antisense_RNA from 1 species